rnacentral:rRNA from 1 species
GACGAACGCUGGCGGCGUGCCUAAUACAUGCAAGUCGAACGCGGAAGAGAGGAGCUUGCUCUUCUUGGAUGAGUUGCGAACGGGUGCGUAACGCGUAGGUAACCUGACUUGUAGCGGGGGAUAACUAUUGGCAACGAUAGCUAAUACCGCAUAACAGUGUAUGACACAUGACAUUUAUUUGAAUGGGGCAAUUGCUCCACUACAAGAUGGACCUACGUUGUAUUAGCUGGUAGGUGAUGUAAUGGCUCAUCUAGGCGACGAUACAUAGCCGACCUGAGAGGGUGAUCAGACACACUGGGACUGAGACAAGGCCCAGCAUCCUACGGGAGGCAGCAGUAGGGAACCUUCGGCAAGGGGGGCAACCCUGACCGAGCAACGCCGCGUGAGUGAAGAAGGUUUUCGGAUCGUAAAGCUCUGUUGUAAGUCAAGAAUGGGUGUGAGAGUGGAAAGUUCACACUGUGACGGUAGCUGACCAGAAAGGGACGGCUAACUACGUG